rnacentral:rRNA from 1 species
GACGAACGCUGGCGGCGUGCUUAACACAUGCAAGUCGAACGGAAAGGCCCUGCUUUUGUGGGGUGCUCGAGUGGCGAACGGGUGAGUAACACGUGAGUAACCUGCCCUUGACUUUGGGAUAACUUCAGGAAACUGGGGCUAAUACCGGAUAGGAGCUCCUGCUGCAUGGUGGGGGUUGGAAAGUUUCGGCGGUUGGGGAUGGACUCGCGGCUUAUCAGCUUGUUGGUGGGGUAGUGGCUUACCAAGGCUUUGACGGGUAGCCGGCCUGAGAGGGUGACCGGCCACAUUGGGACUGAGCUACGGCCCAGACUCCUACGGGAGGCAGCAGUGGGGAAUAUUGCACAAUGGGCGGAAGCCUGAUGCAGCAACGCCGCGUGCGGGAUGACUGCCUUCGGGUUGUAAACCGCUUUCGCCUGUGACGACGCGUGAGUGACGGUAAUGGGUAAAGAAGCACCGGCUAACUACGUG